rnacentral:rRNA from 1 species
ACACUCCUGCGGGAGGCAGCAGUGGGGAAUAUUGCACAAUGGGCGCAAGCCUGAUGCAGCCAUGCCGCGUGUGUGAAGAAGGCCUUCGGGUUGUAAAGCACUUUCAGCGGGGAGGAAGGCAAUGCGGUUAAUAACCGUGUUGAUUGACGUUACCCGCAGAAGAAGCACCGGCUAACUCCGUGCCAGCAGCCGCGGUAAUACGGAGGGUGCAAGCGUUAAUCGGAAUUACUGGGCGUAAAGCGCACGCAGGCGGUCUGUCAAGUCGGAUGUGAAAUCCCCGGGCUCAACCUGGGAACUGCAUUCGAAACUGGCAGGCUUGAGUCUUGUAGAGGGGGGUAGAAUUCCAGGUGUAGCGGUGAAAUGCGUAGAGAUCUGGAGGAAUACCGGUGGCGAAGGCGGCCCCCUGGACAAAGACUGACGCUCAGGUGCGAAAGCGUGGGGAGCAAACAGGAUUAGAUACCCCAGUAGUCCCAUGAU